rnacentral:rRNA from 1 species
GAUUAAUCCCUCAUAAUAUUUUUGAAAGGCAUCUUUUAAAAAUUAAAGUUUCGACGGUUAUUGAUGGGCAUGCGUGGCAUUAGUUUGUUGGUGAGGUAACGGCUCAUCAAGACAUCGAUGCCUAGGGGGCCUGAGAGGGUGAUCCCCCACACUGGUACUGAGACACGGACCAGACUCCUACGGGAGGCAGCAGUAAGGAAUAUUGGGCAAUGGACGAAAGUCUGACCCAGCCAUGCCGCGUGCAGGAUGACGGCCCUAGUGGUUGUAAACUGCUUUUAUACGGGAAGAAAAGUUCCAACGUGUUGGAAUGUGACUGUACCGUAUGAAUAAGCAUCGGCUAACUCCGUGCCAGCAGCCGCGGUAAUACGGAGGAUGCAAGCGUUAUCCGGAUUCAUUGGGUUUAAAGGGUGCGUAGGCGGAUUGGUAAGUCAGUGGUGAAAUCCUCUCGCUUAACGGGAGAAUUGCCGUUGAUACUAUCAAUCUUGAGUACACUUGAAGUGGGCGGAAUGUGUCAUGUAGCGGUGAAAUGCAUAGAUAUGACACAGAACACCGAUUGCCAAGGCAGCUCACUAAAUUGUAACUGACGCUGAGGCACGAAAGCGUGGGGAGCAAACAGGAUUAGAUACCCUGGUAGUCCACGCUGUAAACGAUGAUCACUAGCUGUUGGGCGAUACACUGUCAGCGGCUGAGCGAAAGUAUUAAGUGAUCCACCUGGGGAGUACGAUCGCAAGGUUGAAACUCAAAGGAAUUGACGGGGGCCCGCACAAGCGGAGGAGCAUGUGGUUUAAUUCGAUGAUACGCGAGGAACCUCACCUAGGCUUAAAUGCUUUUUGACCGUCCUGGAAACAGGAUUUCCCUUCGGGGCAAAUUGCAAGGUGCUGCAUGGUUGUCGUCAGCUCGUGCCGUGAGGUGUCGGGUUAAGUCCCAUAACGAGCGCAACCCCUAUUCUUAGUUGCCAUCAGGUAAUGCUGGGAACUCUAAGGAAACUGCCUACGCCCCUAGUGAGGAAGGUGGGGAUGACGUCAAAUCAGCACGGCCCUUACGCCUAGGGCUACACACGUACUACAAUGGCCAGCAUAGUGGGUUGCUACCUGGUAACAGGAUGCUAAUCUCUAAAUCUGGUCUCAGUUCGGAUUGAAGUCUGCAACUCGACUUCAUGAAGUUGGAUUCGCUAGUAAUCGCGC